CUUUACACNUGCAAGUCGAACGGCAGCAUGGAGAGCUUGCUCUCUGAUGGCGAGUGGCAGAACGGGUNUNGUAAUAUAUCGGAGCGUGCCCAGUAAUGGGGAAUAACUAAUUGAAAGAUUAGCUAAUACCGCAUACGACCUACGGGUGAAAGCAGGGGAUCUCGUUAUUGGAGCGGCCGAUAUCUGAUUAGCUAGUUGGUAGGGUAAAAGCCUACCAAGGCGACGAUCAGUAGCUGGUCUGAGAGGACGAUCAGCCACACUGGAACUGAGACACGGUCCAGACUCCUACGGGAGGCAGCAGUGGGGAAUUUUGGACAAUGGGGGAAACCCUGAUCCAGCCAUCCCGCGUGAGUGAAGAAAGCCUUCGGGUUGUAAAGCUCUUUCGGAAGUGA
rnacentral:rRNA from 1 species